AAGUUUAUAUGAAAGUCCGUCCUUUUCAAGUUAUUUCCAUGAAAAUUGGUAUUUGGGUUUUCUGUCACAAAUGAAGAAAAUGUGUUUCAGGGAUUUUUUGGAAAUUUCAUCCCCACUGUGAUUUUCUAAAUUCCACCCGAGCAAAGUCGGGGCAGUUCAGCAAGUAGGUAAUAUUGCUAAAGAA